rnacentral:rRNA from 1 species
UACGUAGGGGGCAAGCGUUGUCCGGAUUUAUUGGGCGUAAAGAGCGUGUAGGCGGCCACACAGGUCUGCUGUGAAAACUCGAGGCUCAACCUCGAGCUGUCGGUGGAAACCGUGUGGCUAGAGUCCGGAAGAGGAGAGUGGAAUUCCCGGUGUAGCGGUGAAAUGCGCAGAUAUCGGGAAGAACGCCCGUGGCGAAGGCGGCUCUCUGGGCCUUACCUGACGCUGAGGAGCGAAAGCGUGGGGAGCGAACAGG